UGGGGAAUAUUGCACAAUGGGCGGAAGCCUGAUGCAGCAACGCCGCGUGCGGGAUGACGGCCUUCGGGUUGUAAACCGCUUUCGCCUGUGACGAAGCGUGAGUGACGGUAAUGGGUAAAGAAGCACCGGCUAACUACGUGCCAGCAGCCGCGGUGAUACGUAGGGUGCGGGGGUUGUCCGGAUUUAUUGGGCGUAAAGGGCUCGUAGGUGGUUGAUCGCGUCGGAAGUGUAAUCUUGGGGCUUAACCCUGAGCGUGCUUUCGAUACGGGUUGACUUGAGGAAGGUAGGGGAGAAUGGAAUUCCUGGUGGAGCGGUGGAAUGCGCAGAUAUCAGGAGGAACACCAGUGGCGAAGGCGGUUCUCUGGGCCUUUCCUGACGCUGAGGAGCGAAAGCGUGGGGAGCGAACA
rnacentral:rRNA from 1 species